rnacentral:sRNA from 1 species
GUAACCGAGAACCGGCGCGGCUUCUGCGCCGGAAAAAAUCUAGUUCAUAAAAGUCAUAUUGAAGAAGUUCACUCACGAAAGGACGUAAGUCUAUGCGCGCGAUCGUAUUGUU